rnacentral:rRNA from 1 species
CGUAGUCGAUGGGAAACAGGUUAAUAUUCCUGUACUUGGUGUUACUGCGAAGGGGGGACGGAGAAGGCUAUGUUGGCCGGGCGACGGUUGUCCCGGUUUAAGCGUGUAGGCUGGUUUUCCAGGCAAAUCCGGAAAAUCAAGGCUGAGGCGUGAUGACGAGGCACUACGGUGCUGAAGCAACAAAUGCCCUGCUUCCAGGAAAAGCCUCUAAGCAUCAGGUAACAUCAAAUCGUACCCCAAACCGACACAGGUGGUCAGGUAGAGAAUACCAAGGCGCUUGAGAGAACUCGGGUGAAGGAACUAGGCAAAAUGGUGCCGUAACUUCGGGAGAAGGCACGCUGAUAUGUAGGUGAAGCGACUUGCUCGUGGAGCUGAAAUCAGUCGAAGAUACCAGCUGGCUGCAACUGUUUAUUAAAAACACAGCACUGUGCAAACACGAAAGUGGACGUAUACGGUGUGACGCCUGCCCGGUGCCGGAAGGUUAAUUGAUGGGGUCAGCGCAAGCGAAGCUCUUGAUCGAAGCCCCGGUAAACGGCGGCCGUAACUAUAACGGUCCUAAGGUAGCGAAAUUCCUUGUCGGGUAAGUUCCGACCUGCACGAAUGGCGUAAUGAUGGCCAGGCUGUCUCCACCCGAGACUCAGUGAAAUUGAACUCGCUGUGAAGAUGCAGUGUACCCGCGGCAAGACGGAAAGACCCCGUGAACCUUUACUAUAGCUUGACACUGAACAUUGAGCCUUGAUGUGUAGGAUAGGUGGGAGGCUUAGAAGUGUGGACGCCAGUCUGCAUGGAGCCGACCUUGAAAUACCACCCUUUAAUGUUUGAUGUUCUAACGUUGACCCGUAAUCCGGGUUGCGGACAGUGUCUGGUGGGUAGUUUGACUGGGGCGGUCUCCUCCUAAAGAGUAACGGAGGAGCACGAAGGUUGGCUAAUCCUGGUCGGACAUCAGGAGGUUAGUGCAAUGGCAUAAGCCAGCUUGACUGCGAGCGUGACGGCGCGAGCAGGUGCGAAAGCAGGUCAUAGUGAUCCGGUGGUUCUGAAUGGAAGGGCCAUCGCUCAACGGAUAAAAGGUACUCCGGGGAUAACAGGCUGAUACCGCCCAAGAGUUCAUAUCGACGGCGGUGUUUGGCACCUCGAUGUCGGCUCAUCACAUCCUGGGGCUGAAGUAGGUCCCAAGGGUAUGGCUGUUCGCCAUUUAAAGUGGUACGCGAGCUGGGUUUAGAACGUCGUGAGACAGUUCGGUCCCUAUCUGCCGUGGGCGCUGGAGAACUGAGGGGGGCUGCUCCUAGUACGAGAGGACCGGAGUGGACGCAUCACUGGUGUUCGGGUUGUCAUGCCAAUGGCACUGCCCGGUAGCUAAAUGCGGAAGAGAUAAGUGCUGAAAGCAUCUAAGCACGAAACUUGCCCCGAGAUGAGUUCUCCCUGACCCUUUAAGGGUCCUGAAGGAACGUUGAAGACGACGACGUUGAUAGGCCGGGUGUGUAAGCGCAGCGAUGCGUUGAGCUAACCGGUACUAAUGAACCGUGAGGCUUAACCUUACAACGCCGAAGCUGUU